AGCUCCAAUAGCGUAUAUUAAAGUUGCUGCAGUUAAAAAGCUCGUAGUUGGAUCUCGGGUGCAGGCUUGCGGUCCGUCUCGCGGCGGUCACUGCUCGUCCUGGCCUCCACGCCGGCGUACCGUCCCUUGGUGCUCUUGACUGAGUGUCUCGGGCGGCCGGAACGUUUACUUUGAAGAAAUUAGAGUGCUCAAAGCAGGCCUUGGCCGCCUGCAUAAUGGUGCAUGGAAUAAUGGAAUAGGACCUCGGUUCUAUUUUGUUGGUUUUCGGAGCUCGAGGUAAUGAUUAACAGGGACUGACGGGGGCAUUCGUAUUGCGGCGCUAGAGGUGAAAUUCUUAGACCGUCGCAAGACGAACUACAGCGAAAGCAUUUGCCAAGCAUGUUUUCA
rnacentral:rRNA from 1 species